rnacentral:lncRNA from 1 species
UAUAUCCGACCAGCUCUCUCAGUUGACACACGAGAUCCAUGGUUAUUUUGACCAUGUCCAUUGUCCCUAUGCGGGUCUCGUUCCCUUUUAAGCUGCGCCGGAUGACGAGGCGGAUCGUGACGGAGAUAAUUGAUAUUGUAUUUUUUUCUGGUUUUAAUUGUAUUGUUGGAUGUCCCUCUGCUGUACCCCUUUAAUUUUCAAUA